AACGGUGUAGUUCAGCGGUUAGAGCAUUGGAAUCAUAUCCCAAAUGUCGGGGGUUCAAAUCCCUCCUCCGUUA
rnacentral:tRNA from 1 species